GUCGUCUUCGUCCCUAACUUCGGAUCCAAAGCACCAGGCGCCGCACAAAUCGCCUGGGUCGCCGCCGAGCGGAUCCUUGGCUUUGUUUGCGAAGAGAUGCCAGAGCAUACCUUUGGACCUCUGGACAUGCGGCUUCUUCCGAUAGAUUCUCGCAUUUUCUCGUAGGUCCAACAAUUCGCCUCUCUUCUGCUAGAUUUGUUGAUUUCUUCUAUUUUCAUGUCUGUUAUCGGUCAAGAAGUUUUUGUUGAAUUGAUUGCUGUGCUAUUGUGCUGGGAUAACCAAUCGAUGGCUCGAUGAUGACUAUUCUUGCUUUAACCACACUGAAACUAAGGCCGGAAGAAGGGUGCGUUCUACCUUCCCUUAGUCUUUUCGCUCUUCUUCUUGCCGAUUCCUCGUGAAAUCUCGCUCUCUUGUUUAAGAACUCUUUUAUUCUUAGGCAAGAGGACGAGGUAGAAGGAUUCGGUAAGAUCGGGGAGCGUGGCAAAGGGGACGGCUGAAUGCCUCUUCCGAUGGAUCUUGGCUUGUGGAAAACCGUGGCCUUUAACCGAGAGCUUGUUCCCUGUAAGCGCAAUCGAUGCAGCGUUUAACGUCUCUUCGACUUUACUAGUUAAACUGCAAAUUGUCGCAUCAGUCAUUAUGUGAAUGUUUCUCGUAGAUUAGAUAUUGUUCUCGCCUUCUUGGGAAUCUUGCCUCAUCCCUUCUUUGAACAUGGAGAAUUCGAGGAUGAUGAUGUGAUUUUGUCGCCCCAGUCUUAGGUCCGCUCUAAUCGCGGCCUUUGCUGAUUGACACUUUUGAAUCUGACUCUGCAUAUUGAAUCAACCUAUGACAAUUUUUUUUUCGUCGAUGUUUGUUAGUCGAUGGACCAUUAGCUUAUUUGUUGUUUCCGGUUAAGAAAUCUGGAUGGAAGUGAGGAUCCUUUCCCCAGCUGAUCGACUAUGAUUAUACUGUGCGCACAUGUAAUCCGUUCUCCAAGGAGUAGGAUUCAAGCCAGAAAUCUGAUCCAUCAAGCAUUCUUAAAAUUUGUUUCUGUAGGAUGAUUUCCGUUUAUAUCUGUUUUUACUCCUGUUUUUCUGGGCCUAAUUAUUUUAGCGAUUAAAGAUAUUGAUUGGAAAUGACGAUCCUUUCCCCAGAUGAUCGACUAGGAUUAUACUGUGCGCAAUUGUGAUACCUUCUCACCGGAGGAGGAUUUCAAGCCAGAAAUCUGAUCCAUCUAGUAGUUCACCGUUUCGUUUUCCCCCCUUUUUGGCUGAACUUUCUAAUUUUUUGGUUGUUUGGUGAAUACGGAUAUUAAGUUGAUAUGAGGAUCCUUUCCCCAGAUGAUCGACUGUGAUUAAA